rnacentral:lncRNA from 13 species
AAUCCACAUGAUGGAAAGCCUGGCAGUCACUGAAAUCAGGGCACUCCUUAGGUGUCAAUCUAUAUUAAUCCCCAGAACACGCUGAGGAGUGAAAAAGCAACAGGCAGCCGUUUGAGUCAAGGAAACGGGGCGAAAAGAACAUGCACUGGCUCGUAUAGGUAAAGACACCUCUGGAAGAAUGCACAAGAAGAUGCGCCCGAGGUGCCUGGGAAGAGUCAUGAGCUGCUGGGGACAGAGGGGACACAGCAUACCUGGCCUGACGACGCAGCACCAGGUGCCAUCCUGGAAGCAGCGAGCAGCCCUCACCAGGUUCCCAAUCUGCCAGCCCCUUCAUCCUGGACUUCCAGCCUUCGGAACUGCCAGAGGAGACCUGUCUGUUCUUCGUCAGUUACCUAUCCUCAGGUGUUUUAUUAUGGCGGCACUAAUCGACUGAGACAGCCAGCCAGGAGACUGAGGGCAAAGGCGCUGUAGAAAGCCAGUGGGUCCCUCACCCGGUGUCAGGCGCUAAGGCACCUGCCAGAAGAGACGGUGGGUCCCUGGGAGAAGGGUCCUGCAACCUGAUGGCAAAGAUGGCCAGUCACAUUCCUGGGUCCUUCUCCAAAGGGGCAGCCAGAGAAACUGGAAAGCCCAGGCCCUUCCGGGACUGUUGAGGGUAAUUCUGGGCACCUGAAGUGCCCCAGGCCCAGAGUAGCAGGGCUCUCCAUCUUCAUGGAGGGUGAGUCAGGCGCCCCUGCCCUGGCCCACUUGCCUAGGGUCCUCAUCCAUGUAAGCUGAAGUCUGAAGACAUCACCAGGCCUCCCCAACACCCCAGCCCAGGGCGGAGCUGCACAAGUGAUAAGUGAGGAUGCCCCGGACUGCCCUUGAUGAAGGCUAGUUCUCUUCCACUUUCUGACUGCCACCUCCCCACUCUGCACCUUCACCCCUUCUCAAGAACCACAGCCUCCAGGGCCCACCUCUCUGUUUCUGAGGAAAGCAUUAGGGUGGGGGCAUGGAUGGUCUCCCCACUUGCAUUGUAAAAGACACACAGCAGUCAAUGCUCUA